rnacentral:rRNA from 1 species
AACGAACGCUGGCGGCAGGCCUAAAACAUGCAAGUCGAACGCCCCGCAAGGGGAGUGGCGCACGGGUGAGUAACGCGUGGGAACGUGCCCUUCAGUACGGGACAACGUCGGGAAACUGACGCUAAUACCGUAUAAUAUCUCCGGAUCAAAGAUUUAUCGCUGAGGGAGCGGCCCGCGUCUGAUUAGCUAGUUGGUGAGGUAAUGGCUCACCAAGGCUACGAUCAGUAGCAGGUCUGAGAGGAUGAUCUGCCACACUGGGACUGAGACACGGCCCAGACUCCUACGGGAGGCGGCAGUUAGGAAGAUUGGACAAGGGAGGAAACCCUGAUCCAGCCAUGCCGCGUGUGUGAUGAAGGCCCUAGGGUUGUAAAGCACUUUCGUUGGGGAUGAUAAUGACCGUACCCAAAGAAGAAGCCACGGCUAAAUUCGUGCCAGCAGCCGCCGUAA